UACGUAGGUGGCAAGCGUUGUCCGGAUUUACUGGGCGUAAAGAGCGCGCAGGCGGUCGUUCAAGUCGCGUGUGAAAGCCCCCGGCUCAACUGGGGAGGGUCACGCGAUACUGAUCGACUCGAAGGCAGGAGAGGGUAGUGGAAUUCCCGGUGUAGAGGUGAAAUUCGUAGAUAUCGGGAGGAACACCGGUGGCGAAGGCGGCGACCUGGGACAAUACUGACGCUGAGGUGCGAAAGCGUGGGGAGCAAACAGG
rnacentral:rRNA from 1 species